AAGGAGAAUGAAAAGAAAAAAAAGAAAAUGGAUAACAUGAGGACACGUAAUCAGAAAUUUGGCGGUUGGGAGAAGCCGCUGCAAAACUGCUGUGCUCUCUGAAAGUCUCAACCUUUAAGGAAGAAGAAGAGAGAGAGAGAGACAAAGAGAGCUCAAAUGGCAACCGAAGCACUAUCAACUGUAACUGCAAGUUCAAAAGGAAUCUUCCUCUGCCCCCACCAAUAUCACGAAUUCAACCGCCACCGCUUUCUCUCUCUGCAAAACCACCACCACCACCACCAUAACACUAGCUCAUCAAAACCAAGGCCCAUCACCAGCUUCCUCGUCCAUCUGAAGCCCAUUGGGCCUAGGGCCCACCAACACUCAAAGCCCAAGCCCAAAUUGACCAGAGCACGAGCCGCCGACUCAACCCAGCCUACCACCGUCUCCUCCACCGCCGACAAGACCGUCGUUCCUGACGACCAGUUCUCCCUCGCUAAGGUUUCGUUUGGGGUUAUUGGUCUGGGUGGUGGGCUUUCACUCUUGUCGUAUGGUUUUGGGGCGUAUUUUAAUAUCCUUCCUGGGUCUGAAUGGUCAGCAUUGAUGCUCACAUAUGGCUUCCCACUUGCAAUCAUUGGUAUGGCUUUCAAGUAUGCAGAGCUAAAGCCAGUACCAUGCUUGACUUAUUCGGAUGCUCUGAAAUUAAGGGAAACAAGUGCCACUCCAAUCCUUACGCAGGUCAGGAAUGAUGUUACGAGGUAUCGCUAUGGAGAUGAGCAGCAUUUGGAUGAGGCAUUGAAACGAAUUUUCCAGUAUGGUCAGGGUGGGGGAAUUGCUCGGAGGAGUGCACCUACUCUCCAAAGCAUUCGCGAAGAGAGCGUGACCACCAUUAUUCCCCAGUUGCUACUAUUUCAAAUUAUACUGUAUGUUUUUAGGUCACAGAAGAUGGUAGAUACUCUCUAGUCCUGGUAUUUGAGGCAAAAGCUCUGCAGUUAUCAGAUUUUGAACAAAGACAGGCUAAAUUUGCGUCAUUCUUCGGACCAGGAAUCACAUCUGAAAUCGUGAAGGGAGAGAAGAAUCUAUAUGAAGUCCGACUCAUUUCUAACUCCAACGUUGACCCCUCUGCAUAACCCUUGUAAAAAAAUGCAAUGUAGUUUAAUCAUUACACAGCCUCUUGUCACUUGUAAAACUGUUGUUUAAAUUCAGUUGACAAAAUCUUAUUGUAUCAUACUUACAAUUUUGAAUAGAGAAUCAGAAACACGACAAAAUCUCGUUUUUUU